GUUCCAUAUUUACUUGAAGAAAAACAUCUUUACUUUGAGGGUGGCAGAGUACUGGAACAAGCUGCUCAGAGAGGUUGUGGAGUCUCCUUCUCUGGAGAUAUUCAAAACUUGUGGAGAACAGAAAUUCUCCAGAGUUGCAUGGUUUCACUCCCCCUAGCAGAAGGAAUCCUGAAGUCUUUCCUGCAUAUUGAUCAACUUCAACAGCACAUCCAGAUAAUUUCCAAGGAAUCUUCAUGGCAGAGCUUUUAGAACUAAUAAUUCUUAAAUAGAUACUGCAAGAUAGAUUGAUCCAGACUGCUGUGGAAUAAUCAGGAACACAAACUGCAGGAUUGUGACACUGAGUUCAGGAAUUGUUAGGUUAGAGAGCACAAAGUAAGAAUUUAACCACGCCAUCUUAGAGCAGUUCUGUGGGCAAUUACAGAUAAGCUCAAGGCUUCUUCUAUGGUGUUGGCUAUUGCACAUCUAAGGAAAGAUCAAUACCUGAUUAUCACUUUUAAAAUAAAUCUCAAUAAUAUUUUGGAUUUUCUAUUUUCAUUCUUUGGUAACAGAUUGUACUAAGACAACGUGUCAACAUGGAACUGUGUAUAGAUAGAUGCCUUGACUCAGGGUUGGAUGUGAUCAGAAGACCUCACUAGAAGAAGUAGAGGUCCAAGAAUAGGGGUUGUCUACAAUACCAGAAAUUGUACAGUCAAAUUCAAGUGAGAAUAUAUUCUGAUUUUCAAUGUCAGAUUUCAAAUGCAAAAUGAGAGUAAAAGGAAAGAUCCUUAGGAGCCAACAAGAAGUGGUGCAUUUAUGCCUCUGAAACAUUCACAAGUUUUAUCUUUGAGUACUAUUAUAAAUAAAUAUAUAAUAACAAACAUAUUAUAAAUAUUAUAAUUUAUAUUAUAUAAUUAUAUAUAUUUAUAAUAUAUUUAUUAUAUUUACAUUUACAUAUUAUAAAUAUAAUAACAAAUAUAUUUCAUUUCUAGGACAAAAAAAAUCCCACUAUUAAAAAAAAAAAUACAGAAGGAGAACAAAUCCCUCUUGACAAAUGUAGGACUAUGCCAGUAUGUUGUUUUUUUUUUCAAUCAAAUAAUUUUGCAUAUAUGUACGAAAUUAAUGCAAAUUAACUUUUCUUCAUUUCUUGUCCUUUUUCUACUAACAGCAUCAAAAUUAUAACUGAAGCUGUCAGCAUUUUAUAUCACCCCAAUUUUCUCAAUAAUAUAUCUUUACUUCAACUCUUAUUUCAAUAAUAAUGCUAUAAAUGAUCUUACUGUUCAGGUAACCUAUUCUCAUCCACAGAAUUUAUAAAGAUUUUAUAAUCAUAGAAUCAGAGAAUGGUUGGGGCUAGAAAUGACCUUUCAGAUCAUAUAGUUCCAACACCCCUGCUAUAUACAGGGACACCUCUCUCUAGACCUGGCUGUUCAAAGACCUAUCCAGCCUGACCUUUCAUGCUUCCAGGGAGGGGGCAUCUACAGCCUCACUGGGCAACCUGUUCCACUGUCUCACCACCCUCACAGUAAAGAAUUUCUUCAAGUAUCUACUCUAAAUCUUCCCUCUUCCAGUUUAAAACCAUUUCCCCUCAUCCUGUUGUCAGCUGUCCUUAUAAAAAGUCCUCCCCAGCUUUCCUGUAGGCCUCCUUCAGGUACUGGAUGUCCACUAUAAAUUCUUGUUAGAGCCUUCUCUUCUCCAGGCUGAAGAACCCCAGCUCUCUCAGCCUGUCCUUGUAGGGGAGGUGCUCCAGCCCUCUGAUCAUCUUUGUGGCCCUCCUCUGGACCUGCUCCAACAACUCCAUGUCCUUCUUGUGCUGGGGGCCCCAGAACUGGACACAGUGAGAUUGUAUAUCCAUCAUCAUAUCAGUCAAAGCUUAAAUUCACCUUCCUUCUUUGCCCUCUGUAGUUAAUGCUAUGGGGAGAUGUGGCAAAGAGAAAGAUUGUGUAUGUUCCUAUUUUUCUGUGGCAGUGACUCAGCUCUCUUAGUUGACAUAAUGUAAGGGACAAAAAAACAAACAAACAAAACAAAACAAAACAAAAACAAAAACAAAAACAAAAACAAAAAACAAAAAGAACAAUGCAUUCUGUUCCUGACUGCUUGAUUCAGUUAUAGUAGCCCCAUUAAUUCUACAAGAAGAUCUAUAGUUAAUAUUAAUACAUGGCUAUAUCUGUGUGAGACUUAAGUCCUUACUCUUUCUCUACAGAAAGCAAAAAUCUGGGUUUUCAAAUAGCCUGAAUACUUAGGACUCUAUAUUACAUUAUCUCUCUCUAGGAUUCAGGAUUCUAAGUACAUAAAUCACUUUUAAAGUAUGUUAAGUUUUAUUCUGUGUCUCUAAGAUAAGAAAGUUAAGUCACAUAGAAAAAAAGGUAUUUGGCAAAUUUGUUUUUAACUGCAUAAAUAAACCAAAAUAAAAGAGUAUGAUGCUUUCCUGUGACUCAGAGGCAUUAAAUAUCAGUUCUUGUGGCAGUGAUAAGGAUAGUAUUUCCAUAAUAAAACAGUGGAAGACUGCUUGGUUGUAU
ensembl:lncRNA